rnacentral:rRNA from 1 species
UGGGGAAUAUUGCACAAUGGGGGAAACCCUGAUGCAGCGACGCCGCGUGAACGAAGAAGGUAUUCGUAUCGUAAAGUUCUGUCCUAUGGGAAGAUAAUGACAGUACCUUAGAAGAAAGCUCCGGCUAAAUACGUGCCAGCAGCCGCGGUAAUACGUAUGGAGCGAGCGUUGUCCGGAAUUAUUGGGCGUAAAGGGUACGCAGGCGGUUUAAUAAGUCGAAUGUUAAAGAUCGGGGCUCAACCCCGUAAAGCAUUGGAAACUGAUAAACUUGAGUAGUGGAGAGGAAAGUGGAAUUCCUAGUGUAGUGGUGAAAUACGUAGAUAUUAGGAGGAAUACCAGUAGCGAAGGCGACUUACUGGACACAAACUGACGCUGAGGUACGAAAGCGUGGGGAGCAAACAGG